rnacentral:lncRNA from 1 species
AUAUUUGUAUGGAUACUUUGCGGCUAGUGGUGCAGGCAGGUUAUACCCAAUAAAAUCAAAUCUAACGAAAGUGUUAGUGGUCAUACCACCCAUCUAAGUGGUAAUUAAUCUCUUCGGUCAGAGCACUGCUAGGCUAAAGCAAGAGCACAUGCAUACAGAGUAUAUUCGACCGCCAAAUUUUCCACUUAAUUUCCCUCCAUGUUUACUUUGCAUUCUUCA